rnacentral:lncRNA from 1 species
ACCAUAAAUUGAUUUUGCUUCACACUAUCUUGAUGAAGAUAGUGCAAAGCUUUUGAGAUUGAUAUUUGUUCUCCAUUGAUGAAGCUUUUGUUGGCAUCAUAAAUUGAUUUUGCUUCACACUGAUAGUGCAAAGCUUUUGAGAUUGAUAUUUGUUCUCCAUUGAUGAAGCUUUUGUUGGCACCAUAAAUUGAUUUUGCUUCACACUAUCUUGAUGAAGAUAGUGCAAAGCUUUUGAGAUUGAUAUUUUGUCCUCCAUUGAUGAAGCUUUUGUUGGCACCAUAAAUUGAUUUUGCUUCACACUGAUAGUGCAAAGCUUUUGAGAUUGAUAUUUGUGUUCCAUUGAUGAAGCUUUGUUGAAUUUCCCAAUUUCCAAUUUCCUCUUCUUUUUUUUUUUUUUUUUUUUUUU